CCUACGGGAGGCAGCAGUGAGGAAUAUUGGUCAAUGGGCUUACGCCUGAACCAGCCAAGUCGCGUGAGGGAAGACUGCCCUAUGGGUUGUAAACCUCUUUUGUCAGGGAGCAAUUGGCGCUACGUGUAGCGUUAUCGAGAGUACCUGAAGAAAAAGCACCGGCUAACUCCGUGCCAGCAGCCGCGGUAAUACGGAGGAUGCGAGCGUUAUCCGGAUUGAUUGGGUUUAAAGGGUGCGUAGGCGGAAUGCCAAGUCAGCGGUAAAAUCGCGGGGCUCAACCUCGCUCCGCCGUUGAAACUGGCGUUCUUGAGUGGGCGAGAAGUAUGCGGAAUGCGUGGUGUAGCGGUGAAAAGCAUAGAUAUCACGCAGAACUCCGAUUGCGAAGGCAGAAUACCGGCGCCCAACUGACGCUGAAGCACGAAAGCGUGGGUAUCGAACAGGAUUAGAUACCCUUGUAGUC
rnacentral:rRNA from 1 species